rnacentral:lncRNA from 1 species
GCAGUUGGUUUGUACACAUUUAAAUUCCAUAAAACAAAUCCAUAGAAAUUAGAAUACUAUAUGCAUGCACUCUGCAUUUUCUUUGUUAAAUGUUUUGGUUCACAAAAAUAACAACACAUUUUUUUUUCCUUUAAAGCCACUAAAGCAGAGGGAGAACAAAACAUGCAGCACUGUACACAUUUGCAUAGUAUAUUUUACCCAGCAUGCCUUGUAGAAUGCUACACAUUUACCUAUAUAAGGAAAUAAAAGGGGGACCAGUUUGCCGUGUUUAGUUUUAGUAUUAAUAAGUUUAUCUGUUUUUCCCUCCCACUAACCGUUCAAAAAAACUGCUAAUG